GCUCAGGACGAACGCUGGCGGCGUGCCUAAUACAUGCAAGUUGAGCGCUGAAGGUUGGUACUUGUACCAACUGGAUGAGCAGCGAACGGGUGAGUAACGCGUGGGGAAUCUGCCUUUGAGCGGGGGACAACAUUUGGAAACGAAUGCUAAUACCGCAUAAAAACUUUAAACACAAGUUUUAAGUUUGAAAGAUGCAAUUGCAUCACUCAAAGAUGAUCCCGCGUUGUAUUAGCUAGUUGGUGAGGUAAAGGCUCACCAAGGCGAUGAUACAUAGCCGACCUGAGAGGGUGAUCGGCCACAUUGGGACUGAGACACGGCCCAAACUCCUACGGGAGGCAGCAGUAGGGAAUCUUCGGCAAUGGACGAAAGUCUGACCGAGCNACGCCGCGUGAGUGAAGAAGUUUUCGGAUCGUAAAACUCUUUAGGUAGAGGGGAACGUUGUGAGAGUGAUUNAUCAUCANAGUGUACGUACUACCG
rnacentral:rRNA from 1 species